rnacentral:rRNA from 1 species
UGCCAGCAGCCGCGGUAAUACGGAGGGUGCAAGCGUUGUCCGGAUUUAUUGGGUUUAAAGGGUGCGUAGGCGGACUUUUAAGUCAGUGGUGAAAUCCUGCAGCUUAACUGUAGAACUGCCAUUGAUACUGGAAGUCUUGAGUACACUAGAAGUAGGCAGAAUUUAUGGAGUAGCGGUGAAAUGCAUAGAUACCAUAAGGAAUACCGAUAGCGAAGGCAGCUUACUAGCGCUGUACUGACGCUUCAGCACGAAAGCGUGGGUAGCAAACAGGAUUAGAUA